AGUGGUCUCCAGAACUGGAUGCUAUCGACAAAGGUCAGUGGGGAAAAAGUUGUGAUGGACAAAUUUCUGGAUGACGAUCGUGCCAUGCAAUGCUGACUCUCUGAAAAUAACACGUUUUGAAACCGGUGGAACACAACCGGCUAAACAAGCUGUGCAAACUAAACGGAAACACAGGGGUUGUAGUCUGCCAUGAAGCUUUCAUCCAUGUAUACAGCAUCAAUCAGUAGAAUACCCCUGACUAAUCCACCAGUCAUACAGUCAUCAAAACUCAAGUUUGCCCCCGACUGGUGCUUCGGCCUCAUCAAGCGGAGCUUCAGAAAGACCAGAGUGAACACUUUGUCUGAGAUUGCUGGUGUUGUGAAGGACAGCACUGUGACGGGUCAACAUCCCAUAGCUGGUUGGACUGGAGGAUGGUACGGUGCUGGUGGAAAGCUAUGGCUGGCAACAACACCUGACUCUACUUCAGGCUGCUGCCACAGGUCAAGCAGUUCCAGCACUUCAGCUUUGAUGCUCUGGUGCCUGGUGUUGUCGCCAAGGAGCUUUCGGAAUGUCGGGACCAUGCUUCUGCGCAUCCUUCAUCCCAUAGAUAGUCUGCCUGUAAAAUCACCACCUGGACUGGACACAGCUAGACAAAUGUAUAUUUUUUACAAGAUCAGGGAGUUUUGCGACGAAGAAGCUAUGGACAUCACAUGCCCUGCACCAAAGUCAAGGGCAAGACAGAAACAGGCUCUACAAAAUAUUGAUUCCCUUGUUCAUGCGUGGUUUAAACGGACCAGUCAUCAGCACUAACUGCAGUGCCUCUAUUCACAUGACUCUCUCCUAACACACAAGGCAUACGUUGCUGCUACAAUUAAAUGUUUUUAUCCUGCUGCUCACCCACUUUACCCCUGAUUGUAUACAUAUAACUACCUCAUCAAUCACUGACAGUUAGUGUUAAUAUAAAUGUCUUUCUGAUAUUGCUACUAUGCAAGUAACCAUUUGGCUGUACCGUUUACACCUUCUGUAGAGACCACCCACUUAGCAAAAUAUUGGUAUGUGUGGUCGUAACAUACCACAACAAUAGUGUGACCGUAUUAAGUGUCCAUUACAGAAAUAUAUGGCGCAUGCAUCUGUUCAUGUACUGUACAUGUGUACCUCACUCAGGCUGCAUGGCCUUAACUUAUGUAUGGAAUACUGUGAUAAGUGCAUGUGUAACAGUUUAUAAAGUGUGAAAGCAUUUGGGCAGUGGUGUGAAGUAUUUUUUUGUGGUAUCUGAACACUACUUUAAUUUUUUCUAUAUUUUUUGGGCUACUUUUACUUCACUUGUUAAGAAUUUUUUUUUUACUUAAUACAUUUACCUUGACACCCGAAAGUACUUGUUACAUUUUGACAGAAAUUGUCCAAUUCACCCACUUAUCAAGAGAACAUCCCUACUGCCUCUGAUCUGGCCUGCUCACUAAACACAAAUGAUUCAUUUGUAAAUUAUGUCUGUGUUAACGAGAGCCAGGGGCACACUACAAUAAAUAAAAAAAUGUGCCGUCUGGUUUAAUAUAAGGAAUUUGAAGUGAUUUAUGAUUUUACUCUGACAGUUUAGUAUUUUUUUCCACCACUGAAUGUGGCUGGGGGUUAUAGCAUUUAUUUCACAUAACCCAUCAAUUUAUACAAGUGUGUCUGGGUAAGUGUCUGAACUGGUCAGUCACAUUUUGGAACAGUGAGUGCAUUGAAAAGGUGAAGAUAUUGUAGAACUAGGUGGGGUUUAGCUGAAACUAUUACUUUGUGGCUGUGGUAACUAGUGACUACCCUCACCCCUUCUAUCUUAAUAAGGGCGUGUAUAUUUGAUGUAGGUUGGGUUGUCGAGUUUGUAUUCAUCCUCCUGCUUGCUAGCGGACAUAAGUCCCCUCGUGGGAGAGAGAAAUCCAAAAGGAUAAGUAAUAACACUUCCAACUGUAAAACAUUUAUUCACCAAAUUAUGUUAAUGUUCAAAUUAUUUCAUAAUUCCAAUGUUGAGUCACUGGAAUUAUUUCAUAAUUCCAAUGUUGAGUCACUGGUGUUUAUCAGCCUGUUGCCAAGCUAGCUAACACAAGAUCCACGUUGGGGACGAUGAAAUAACGGUAGCCCAUUUUUAAUGACUGAAGCAAAGUGGGUGAUGGGACUGUUGGGCGACGCGAGCGGUGAAAAUGGGAGAGGGACAUAAACAGGGCGGGGCCAUAGUUGGGGGAAAGCUGAAAUUUAUGCAAAUACUCCAACAUCCUUUUGCCAUUGACCAAUUUAGUUUCCAAUAGUUUCCAGACCCUACUGGAUUGGAUUAUACCUAGCCUGCUUGCUAGCACCAACAUGAGGGCGAAGCAACUGUGGCCAUCUGAAUUUACGCAUUAAAAAGAAUCUCGGACAUGUCAGACGUGAAAGCUAUGAUGAACAACUAAACUAACUAAUCAAAUUUAAUCAAAUGUAUUUAUAAAGCCCUUCUUACAUCCGCUGAUAUCACAAAGUGCUGUACAGAAACCCAGCCUAAAACCCCAAACUGCAAGCAAUAUAGAACCAAUGCCGGUGUAGAAGCACGGUGGCUAGGAAAAACUCCCUAGAAAGGCCAAAAACCUAGGAAGAAACCUAGAGAGGAACCAGGCUAUGAGGGGUGGCCAGUCCUCUUCUGGCUGUGCCGGGUGGAGAUUAUAACAGAACAUGGCCAAGAUGUUCAAAUGUUCAUAGAUGACCAGCAGGGUAAAAUAAUAAUAAUCACAGUGGCUGGCGAGGGUGCAACAAGUCAGCACCUCAGGAGUAAAUGUCAGUUGGCUCUUCAUAGCCGAUCAUUGAGUAUCUCUACCACUCCUGCUGUCUCUAGAGAGUUGUAAACAGCAGGUCUGGGACAGGUAGGACAUCCGGUGAACAGGUCAGGGUUCCAUAGCCGCAGGCAGAACAGUUGAAACUGGAGCAGCAGCACGGCCAGGUGGACUGGGGACAGCAAGGAGUCAUCAGGCCAGGUAAUCCUGAGGCAUGGUCCUAGGGCUCAGUUUUUACGAGAGAAAGAGGGAGAGUAUACUUAAAUUCACACAGGACACGGGAUAAGACAGGAGAAUUACUCCAGAUAUAACAGACUGACCCUAGCCCCCCGACACAAACUACUGCAGGAUAAAUACUGGAGGCUGAGACAGGAGGGGUCGGGAGACACUGUGGCCCCAUCCGACGAUACCCCCGGCCAGGGCCAAACAGGCAGGAUAUAACCCCACCCACUUUGCUAAAGCACAGCCCCCACACCACUAGAGAGAGAACUUCAACCACCAACUUACCAUCCUGAGACAAGGCCGAGUAUAGCCCACAAAGAUCUCCGCCACGGCACAACCCAAGGGGGGACGCCAACCCGGACAGGAAGAUCACCAGUAAGCCAGUGACUCAGCCCCUGUAAUAGGGGUGGAGAGAGGGGGACCGGCAAAGCAGAGACGGCAAGGGCGGUUCCUUGCUCCAGUGCCUUUCCGUUCACCUUCACACUUCUGGGCCUCAAUCACAGGACCUACUGAAGGGAUUAGUCUUCAAUAAAGACUUGAGACUGAGUCUGCGUCUCUCACAUGAGUAGGCAGACCAUUCCAUAAAAAUUGAGCUCUAUAGGAGAAAGCCCUGCCUCCAGCUGUUUGCUUAGAAAUUCGAGGGACAGUAAGGCCUCUUGUGACCGUAGCAUACAUGUAGGUAUGUAUGGCAGGACCAAAUCGGAAAGAUAGGUAGGAGCAAGCCCAUGUAAUGCUUUGUAGGUUAGCAGUAAAACCUUGAAAUCAGCCCUUGCCUUAACAGGAAGCCAGUGAACCUUUUUGGUUCUAGUCAAGAUUCUAGCAGCCGUGUUUAGCACUAACUGAAGUUUAUUUAGUGAUUUAUCCGGAUAGCCGGAAAGUAGAGCAGUGCAGUAGUCUAACCUAGAAGUGACAAAAGCAUGGAUAAGUUUUUCUGCGUCAUUUUUGGACAGAAAGUUUCAGAUUUUUGCAAUGUUACAUAGAUGGAAAAAAGCUGUCCUUGAAACAGUCUUGAUAUGUUCAUCAAAAGAGAGAUCAGGGUUCAGAGUAAUGCCGAGGUCCUUCACAUUUUUUUGGGAGACGACUGUACAACCAUCAAGAUUAAUUGUCAGAUUCAACAGAAGAUCUCUUUGUUUCUUGGGACCUAGAACAAGCAUCUCUGUUUUGUCUGAGUUUAAAAGUAGAACAUUUGCCGCCAUCCACUUCCUUAUGUCUGAAACACAGGCUUCCAGCGAGGGCAAUUUUGGGGCUUCAUGUUUCAUCAAAAUGUACAGCUGUGUGUCAUCCGCAUAGCAGUGAAAGUUAACAUUAUGGUUCCAAAUGACAUCACCAAGAGGUAAAAUAUAUAGUGAUAACAAUAGUGGUCCUAAAACGGAGCCUUGAGGAACACCGAAAUUUACAGUUGAUUUGUCAGAGGACAAACCAUCCACUGAGACAAACUGAUACCUUUCCAACAGAUAAGAUCUAAACCAGGCUAGUACUUGUCUGUGUCGACCAAUUUGGGUUUCCAAUCUUUCCAAAAGAAUGUGGUGAUCGAUGGUUUCAAAAGCAGCACUAAGGUCUAGGAGCACGAGGACAGAUGCAGAGCCUCGGUCUGACGCCAUUAAAAGGUAAUUUACCACCUUCACAAGUGCAGUCUCAGUGCUAUGAUGGGGUCUAAAACCAGACUGAAGCGUUUCGUAUACAUUGUUAGUCUUCAGGAAGGCAGUGAGUUGCUGCGCAACAGCUUUUUCAAAAUGUUUUGAGAGGAAUGGGAGAUUCGAUAUAGGCCGGGUCUGGGUCAAGGUUUGGCUUUUUCAAGAGAGGCUUUAUUACUGCCACUUUUAGUGAGUUUGGUACACGUCCGGUGGAUAGAGAGCCAUUUAUUAUGUUCAACAUAGGAGGGCCAAGCACAGGAAGCAGCUCUUUCAGUAGUUUAGUUGGAAUAGGGUCCAGUAUGCAGCUUGAAGGUUUAGAGGUCAUGAUUCUUUUCGUCAAUGUGUCAAGAUAUAUAGUACUAAAAAACUUGAGUGUCUCCCUUGAUCCUAGAUCCUGGCAGAGUUGUGCAGACUCAGGACAACGGAGCUUUGGAGGUAUACGCAGAUUUAAAGAGGAGUCCGUAAUUUGCUUUCUAAUGAUCAUGAUCUUUUCCUCAAAGAAGUUCAUGAAUUUAUCACUCUUGAAGUGAAAGCCAUCCUCUCUUGGGGAAUGCUGCUUUUUAGUUAGCUUUGCGACAGUAUCAAAAAUACAUUUUGGAUUGUUCUUAGUUUCUUAUGACAAAUGUUUUUAGGGGUGCGACUGCAUCUAGGGUAUUGUACAAGAUUAAAUUGAGUUCCUCAGUUAGAAUGUUAACUGAUGUUUGUACUUUGACGUCCUUGGGUAGGUGGAGGGAGUCUGGAAAGGCAUCUAGGAAUCUUUGGGUUGUCUGAGAAUUUAUAGUACGACUUUUGAUGAUCCUUGGUUGGGGUCUGAGCAGAUUAUUUGUUGCGAUUAAAAAUGUAAUAAAAUGGUGGUCCGAUAGUCCCAGAUUAUGAGGAAAAACAUUAAGAUCCAUAACAUUUAUUCCAUGGGACAAAACUAGGUCAAUAGUAUGACUGUGGCAGUGAGUAGGUCCGGAGACAUGUUGGACUAAACCCACUGAGUCGAUGAUGGCUCUGAAAGCCUUGGAGUGGGUCUGUGGACUUUUCCAUUUGAAUAUUAAAGUCACCAAAAAUUAGAAUAUUGUCUGCUAUGACUACAAGUUCCGAUAGGAAUUCAGGGAACUCAGUGAGUGAUGCUGUAUUUGGCCCAGGAGGCCUGUAAACAGUAGCUAUAAAAAGUGAUUGAGUAGGC
ensembl:lncRNA